GUCGAACGAACUCUUCGGAGUUAGUGGCGGACGGGUGAGUAACACGUGGACGCGUGCCUUUAGGUUCGGAAUAACUCAGGGAAACUUGUGCUAAUACCGAAUGUGCCCUUCGGGGGAAAGAUUUAUCGCCAUUAGAGCGGCCCGCGUCUGAUUAGCUAGUUGGUGAGGUAAAGGCUCACCAAGGCGACGAUCAGUAGCUGGUCUGAGAGGAUGAUCAGCCACAUUGGGACUGACCCACGGACCAAACUCCUACGGGAGGCAGCAGUGGGGAAUCUUGCGCAAUGGGCGAAAGCCUGACGCAGCCAUGCCGCGAAAAUGAUGAAGGUCUUAGGAUUGUAAAAUUCUUUCACCGGGGACGAUAAUGACGGUACCCGGAGAAGAAGCCCCGGCUAACUUCGUGCCAGCAGCCGCGGUAAUACGAAGGGGGCUAGCGUUGCUCGGAAUUACUGGGCGUAAAGGGAGCGUAGGCGGACAUUUAAGUCAGGGGUGAAAUCCCGGGGCUCAACCUCGGAAUUGCCUUUGAUACUGGGUGUCUUGAGUAUGAGAGAGGUGUGUGGAACUCCGAGUGUAGAGGUGAAAUUCGUAGAUAUUCGGAAGAACACCAGUGGCGAAGGCGACACACUGGCUCAUUACUGACGCUGAGGCUCGAAAGCGUGGGAGAGCAAACAGGAUUAGAUACCCUGGUAGUCCACGCCGUAAACGAUGAUUGCUAGUUGUCGGGAUGCAUGCAUUUCGGUGACGCAGCUAACGCAUUAAGCAAUCCGCCUGGGGAGUACGGUCGCAAGAUUAAAACUCAAAGGAAUUGACGGGGGCCCGCACAAGCGGUGGAGCAUGUGGUUUAAUUCGAAGCAACGCGCAGAACCUUACCACCUUUUGACAUGCCUGGACCGCCACGGAGACGUGGCUUUCCCUUCGGGGACUAGGACACAGGUGCUGCAUGGCUGUCGUCAGCUCGUGUCGUGAGA
rnacentral:rRNA from 2 species